ACGGUAGGUGACCUGCCGUUGGAUCAGUUCUAGUUUUAAUAACUAACACCAACUUCUUUUAUUAAACAAAAACCAAUACAAAAUUAAAAACUAACUUCAUCAAAAACCAAGUCUCUAAGCAAUGGAUGUCUUGGCUCCUCACACGAUGAAGAACGUGGCAUAAUGUGUUAAGUAACCGGAGUUGCAAACAUCAUGACAGGUUAAUCUUUGAAUGCAAAUUGCGCUAAACUCGAUCUCGGUCGAGAAGCAUGGGUGUGACAGUACUACAUCUUUUAUAAUAAUUCUUAUUCUAAGCGAAUAAGUAAAUAAUAUAUAAGACAAACAACACGUAGUCUGCCAUACGCAGGAAGACCCGCUGAACUGAAGCAUCUCAUUAAGCGG
rnacentral:rRNA from 1 species